GAUUGAUUUCAUGUAUUUCAAUAAUCUGAUUAUUAACGUUAUUUUUUCUUCAUCUCCACAGCAGGAGGAGCUCAAGCUGAUCAAGACGUUGAACUUCAGGUUCCUGGAAGAUCAAAUGAAGCUGCAGCUGAAUGACGACUCUGCAGCCUGGAUUUCAAUACGUGACGUUCAAAACCAGGAUUUAUUUUAAACCAUGUCAGUAUUAAACCACUUUGGUUAAAAAGAACAGAAAGGUACAAAAGUGUAAAUCAAAUGUUUUUUAAUACCAGUUUCCUAUGAACUGAACUCAAAUGUAGGAAAUAUUUUGUACAUAGAUACUCCACUUUUUACUCUCAAAUGUUCAUAAAUCUGUGUAAAUCUGGGAUAUUUUCCUUUGCUGAGAUAAUCUACAUCUCCUCAGGUUGUGGGACAAAAGAUGCUGAUUUGAAAGAAUUAUUAAUACACAGAUGAGUUUUGGGCUUUUUGGUGAAAAGUCUGAAAUGACGAGAAACUGAUGGUAAAUAGACUGAACUUAUACUGAUCAUUACAUAUGAUUUAAUUUGAGAAUAAAUUUGAAGAAAUUCUGGUAUUUUAAAAGAUAUUGUGAAAAAUAUUUAAAAACAUAUUUAAAAAUAAAUUCACAUUAAAGAAAAAUGUUUCCUAUUAAAACUGUUUUACAACAUAAAGCUUUUGGUAAUAGAUAACAGGAAAUGACAGCAGAAUUUGUUUCCAGAUAAUUUUAGCUUAAACUUUAAGUGAUUUUAUGGUUUAAACUUGUAAAAUAUCAGGAGGCAGGAAGGAGAAAAUCAGCACCACUGAGUCCAGAUGGUUUCUAUCAGGAUUGGUUUAGUUUAACUCUUUCUACACACUAACAUCUCUGUUAGUGUGUAUAGAAAGAGUGUGUAAUUAACUUUAAAUUUACUGACCUCCUCUUUAAAACAGAAUUCAGCUGAGAUGAUGGUGCAGCUCGUUGUCCUCAGUGGAUUCUGAACUAAAUCAUUUAAAUGAACCAAAUGCAUUAAAAUUCAGGACUUCUGGAUGUGUGGAGGACAUGCAACGAAUAACAGACAUUUCACAGAGGAACUGAACUUCAGCCUCCUGAAGGUUCACAUGAAGCUGCAGCUGAAUGAUGACUCUGCAGGCCUGGAUUUAAAUAAGUGACGUUUUAAAACCAGGAUUUAUUUUAAACCAUGUCAGUAUUAAACCGCUUUGGUUAAAAAAAAAAAAGAACAAACUUACUAAACUGUAAAUCAAACCUUUUUGUUUUGAUCCCAGUUUACUGUGAACUGAACUCAAGCAUUAGAAACGUUAUCUUCAUACAUAAUUCACUUUUUACUCUCAAAUGUUCAUAAAUCUGUCUAAAUCUGUGAUAUUAAUUUUUCUCCUUUGCUGAGAUAAUCCAUCCAACCUCACAGGUUGUGGGACAAAAGAUGCUGAUUUGACAGAAUUAUUAAUACACAUCUGGCUGUUGUAAAAAGUGAAGACGGUGUGUGUAAAAGAUGGUGCAGCCGCUAAAAAUGUAUAAAAGUUAUAAUAAAACUACUGCAGUAUCUACUGGAGUAAAAGUCAAAAGUAGUUCUCAAAUCUAAAAGUAUUUGGUGAAAAGUGGAAUGCUGAGAAACUGAUCAAAACUUAUGACUUGAGAAUAAAUAUGAGAUCAGAAGCAAAAAUAUAAAGUUAUGAGUAAAUUCUGGUAUCUUAACGGAUACAGUGAAAAAAUAUCAAAAAAAUAUUUAUUUAAAAAUAAAUUCACAGUGAAGAAAAAUACAUUUCCAAAUAUAACUGUUCACAGCAUAAAGCUUCUGAUAAUACUUUCAGUAGAUAACAGGAAAUGAUAGCAGAACUUGUUUCCAGACAAUUUUAACUUUAAGUGAUUUUAUGGUUUGAGUUAAACAUGUAAAAUACCAGGAGGCAGAAAAUCAUCACCUAUUUGGUUUUAGUUUAACUCUUACACACUUUACCCAAUCUGUUCUUGAAAUAUCUGUGAGCCAUUAAACUUUGACAUUGAAUAUUUACAGUGUAUUUACUGACCACCACCUGUUUAAUAACAGCAUCCAGUUAAAACUAUUGGACAAAAUAUGAUUGAAAUGAACUAAAUAAAUUAAAUGCAGGUCUUCUGAAUGUGUGGAGGAAUUAAUUUCACUGGACUUACAAGGAAUAACAGAUACAAAAAUAACUCUGAAUGCAUUUUGUAACCAUGUGAUCCACUUUAUAAACUACAGAUUUAUUAUUGCACAGAAAAGUCCCAGUUUUUCCUUCAUGUUUCCAGUUUCAGCUGAGCAGCAGAAUCCAGCCUGCAGGUUUCAUCAUGUUCAGAUCAUUUCAAGCUCGUUCAUGUUUCUAUAUUCAGAGGAUCAGGUUGGCUGAUCAGAACAUUUUUGACCUUAAAUGGCUUCAAGUUUAACAGAUUCUGCUGCUGCAAACAUAACAGGAAAUGAUAAAACUUUUAUUCACUGAAGUUGGGGAGAUUUUGGGUUUUCUGAUCAUGUUUUUAUUCCAUAAUCUAUAAUAGACACUAAUUACAUGUUUUAAAUGUGUAAUUUACAACAAUAAGUUUGUUUGUUUCUCAUGUGACUGAAGCUGUUCAUUAAUCAGCAUUUUUGAUUUGAUCAAACUUUGUUUUUAUCUGUAUUUGGGUUUUUAUCCAGGGUGUUAAAGGGAAACAGCUGAUCAGUCUAAAUGUCUGUAAAAAUCCUUCAAGUUUUCAGACUAAUAAUGUUUAAGUAUGAAUGUUUAAUAUGUUUUGUUUUCCUGUGUGUGAAAUCUGAUCUGCGUCUGAUUUUCUCAUCAUUUGAUUUGUGUUUUUCUUAUGUGGUAAAAGAAUAAAAGUAUCUUUUAUUGUCCUGAAGGUGAUGUUCAUGUGUCAUAACAGCAAAAUGACAAGAAAAUGAAGCAUGUAGCUUCAUAAAAAAAUUAAAUAUUAAAAUAUAAAGAUAAAAAAUGAAGUUUAACAUACUGGAGAGCAAAAUUGUAACAUAAAAUACAGAUUUUUAUGUAAUUUCUACACUUUACUCUUUUUUGUCUUUUUGCUUUCAUUAAACUCUUUGAUCUGCUUUUAUGAUUCAGAACCAAAGUGUCUGAAUCACAGGCUGCAAUGCUGUGGUUAAACUGCAGUUUCUAAUAUAAAUGUUGAAGAUGUUUGUUUUAUUAUGUAGAUUUAAAUAAAGUUCAUUUUUCUUCAUC